rnacentral:rRNA from 1 species
CAGAUGUGAAAGACCCGGGGCGUCAACCUCGGAAUUGCAUUUGUAAACUGGCAGACUAGAGUACUGUAGAGGGGGGUAGGAAUUUCAGGUGUAGCGGUGAAAUGCGUAGAGAUCUGAAGGAAUACCGGUGGCGAAGGCGGCCCCCUCGGACAGAUACUGACACUCAGAUGCGAAAGCGUGGGGGAGCAAACAGGAUUAGAUACCCCUGGUAG